rnacentral:misc_RNA from 1 species
AAAGAAGUAACGCGAUAGUGCAUUCAGGUGAUGAAAGAGAAACAGAUACUUCUGCUGGUGCGGAUAUCAAUUCUUGUAUCAGCUUUGAUCCUAAGCUUGUUGGCCAUAUUGCUGCGAGCGUUGUGUAUUCUAAUCCUGCUAAAAAAAUUGACUCCAGGAAAAUUUCUCAGCCAAUUGAUCUUUGUUUGGAUCUGGAUAUCCCAAGACUUCAAUUAAAUGCACUGCAUGCCAG